GGACGAACGCUGGCGGCGUGCUUAACACAUGCAAGUCGAACGGAAAGGCCCUGCUUUUGUGGGGUGCUCGAGUGGCGAACGGGUGAGUAACACGUGAGUAACCUGCCCCUGACUUUGGGAUAACUUCAGGAAACUGGGGCUAAUACCGGAUAGGAGCUCCUGCUGCAUGGUGGGGGUUGGAAAGUUUCGGCGGUUGGGGAUGGACUCGCGGCUUAUCAGCUUGUUGGUGGGGUAGUGGCUUACCAAGGCUUUGACGGGUAGCCGGCCUGAGAGGGUGACCGGCCACAUUGGGACUGAGAUACGGCCCAGACUCCUACGGGAGGCAGCAGUGGGGAAUAUUGCACAAUGGGCGGAAGCCUGAUGCAGCAACGCCGCGUGCGGGAUGACGGCCUUCGGGUUGUAAACCGCUUUCGCCUGUGACGAAGCGUGAGUGACGGUAAUGGGUAAAGAAGCACCGGCUAACUACGUG
rnacentral:rRNA from 1 species